rnacentral:rRNA from 1 species
CAAUAGCGUAUAUAAACGUUGUUGCAGUUAAAAAGCUCGUAGUUGAAAUUCUUUCGUGGGUCAGAGCCACUGCAUUCGCAGGGCCUGGGUUACGGAUUUCUGGUUGUUGCACCUUGGCGGCGCAAGUCGCCUUGGGAAUCGGCCUCAUUUACUGUGAAAAAAUUAGAGUGUUCAAAGCAGGCGUUGGCUUGCAUCCACUAGCAUGGAAUGAUAAGAUAGGACCGGUGUGCUAUUUUGUUGGUUGCGGCCAUUGGUAAUGAUUAAUAGGAACGGUUAGGGGCGUCUGUAUUUGAGUGUCAGAGGUGAAAUUCUUAGAUUGCUCAAAGACAAACUACUGCGAAAGCAUUCGCCAAGGACGUUUUCAUUAA